GACAGAGGUGCCAAGCGUUAGGCGGAAUCACUGGGCUUAAAGCGUGUGUAGGCGGACUGGUAAGUACCUUGUGAAAUCCCACGGCUCAACCGUGGAACUGCUCGGUAUACUGCUCGUCUUGAGCCACUUAGGGGCUGUCGGAACAAACGGUGGAGCGGUGAAAUGCGUAGAUAUCGGGCGGAACAUCAGUGGCGAAGGCGGCCCUCUGGUCCAGUACUGACACUCAAGUGCGAAAGCGUGGGGAGCAAACAGG
rnacentral:rRNA from 1 species